rnacentral:misc_RNA from 1 species
GAUGAGGAACGCAGCGAAAUGCGAUACUUGGUGUGAAUUGCAGAAUCCCGUGAACCAUCGAGUCUUUGAACGCAAGUUGCGCCCGAAGCCAUUAGGCCGAGGGCACGCCUGCCUGGGCGUCACACGUCGUUGCCCCCCCAUCUACUCCUUCGGGAUUGCGGGGGGCGGAUGAUGGCCUCUCGUGCGCCUCGUCGCGCGGUUGGCCUAAAUGCCAAGUCCUCGGCGACGCACGCCACGACAAUCGGUGGUUGCGAAACCUCGGUUGCCUGUCGUGUGCGGUCGUCGCGCAUCGAGGGCUCGAAAAAAUUGCCGGGCUUCGGCUCGACUUUCAACGCGACCCCAGGUCAGGCGGGGUUACCCGCUGAAUUUAAGCAUAUCAAUAAGCGGAGGA